rnacentral:rRNA from 1 species
GAUGAACGCUGGCGGCGUGCCUAAUACAUGCCAGUCGAGCGAACAGACGAGGAGCUUGCUCCUCUGACGUUAGCGGCGGACGGGUGAGUAACACGUGGAUAACCUACCUAUAAGACUGGGAUAACUUCGGGAAACCGGAGCUCAUACCGGAUAAUAUAUUUAACCGCAUGGUUCAAUAGUGAAAGCCGGUUUUGCUGUCACUUAUAGAUGGAUCCGCGCCGCAUUAGCUAGUUGGUAAGGUAACGGCUUACCAAGGCGACGAUGCGUAGCCGACCUGAGAGGGUGAUCGGCCACACUGGAACUGAACCACGGUCCAGACUCCGACGGGAGGCAGCAGUAGGGAAUCUUCCGCAAUGGGCGAAAGCCUGACGGAGCAACGCCGCGUGAGUGAUGAAGGUCUGCGGAUCGUAAAACUCUGUUAUGAGGGAAGAACAAAUGUGUAAGUAACUAUGCACGUCUUGACGGUACCUAAUCAGAAAGCCACGGCUAUCUACGUG